rnacentral:sRNA from 1 species
AUCUGAAGCCUGAAGAGGAUGAGAACCUCCGGGGGCAAGAGGUUCGACUCGAGCGGAGCGAGAGAACGUUGCGCAAGCAACGGCCCGCAGGGCGAGCCUAUCACCGGCAAGUUGACGCUCGCACCACCA